rnacentral:rRNA from 1 species
UACGAAGGGUGCAAACGUUGCUCGGAAUCAUUGGGCGUAAAGCGCACGUAGGCGGCUUUGCAAGUCGGACGUGAAAUCCCUCAGCUCAACUGAGGACGUGCAUCCGAAACUGCAAGGCUUGAGUACUGAAGAGGAUCGCGGAAUUCCCGGUGUAGAGGUGAAAUUCGUAGAUAUCGGGAGGAACACCAGUGGCGAAGGCGGCGAUCUGGGUCGAUACUGACGCUGAGGUGCGAAAGCGUGGGGAGCAAACAGG